rnacentral:misc_RNA from 1 species
CAAUAAGAGUGUUUAUGGCACUCUUCCAAAAAUCCAUACCCACCUUGUGUGCAACGUAAGAAGAAAAAAAAAAAGGACGCGAGCCAUGGGAGACCAAGACUUGCCCUUUUCUUUUUCUUUUCCACAUACACCUUUCUAUAAGUUCCUAUUGUCUGAAGCUGUUAGAGAAUGACUAAUUCUUAAACA